rnacentral:rRNA from 9 species
GAGCGGCGAACGGGUGAGUAACACGUGGGUGAUCUGCCCUGUACUUCGGGAUAAGCCUGGGAAACUGGGUCUAAUACCGGAUAUGACCUCCGGGUGCAUGCCUGGUGGUGGAAAGAUUUAUCGGUACAGGAUGGGCCCGCGGCCUAUCAGCUUGUUGGUGGGGUAAUGGCCUACCAAGGCGACGACGGGUAGCCGGCCUGAGAGGGCGACCGGCCACACUGGGACUGAGACACGGCCCAGACUCCUACGGGAGGCAGCAGUGGGGAAUAUUGCACAAUGGGCGAAAGCCUGAUGCAGCGACGCCGCGUGAGGGAUGACGGCCUUCGGGUUGUAAACCUCUUUCGACAGGGACGAAGCGCAAGUGACGGUACCUGUAGAAGAAGCACCGGCCAACUACGUGCCAGCAGCCGCGGUAAUACGUAGGGUGCGAGCGUUGUCCGGAAUUACUGGGCGUAAAGAGCUUGUAGGCGGUUUGUCGCGUCGUCCGUGAAAACUUGGGGCUCAACCCCAAGCUUGCGGGCGAUACGGGCAGACUUGAGUACUGCAGGGGAGACUGGAAUUCCU